rnacentral:Y_RNA from 1 species
GGCUGGUCCGAUGGCAGUGGGUUAAUAAGUCAGAAUUUAUUAACAUUAGUGUCACUAAAGUUGGUAUACCACCCCCCCACUGCUAAAUUUGACUGGCUUUAU